rfam:Komagataeibacter medellinensis NBRC 3288 DNA, complete genome.
AAUAAAGAUGGCAAUGGACUCUGCCUGAUUUCAGCCAUGAAAUCGAACCGCCCGCCGGGCUGAUGAUUCCUACCCCGCC